GACGAACGCUGGCGGCGUGCUUAACACAUGCAAGUCGAACGGAAAGGCCCUGCUUGCAGGGUGCUCGAGUGGCGAACGGGUGAGUAACACGUGGGUGAUCUGCCCCGCACUUUGGGAUAACCCUGGGAAACUGGGUCUAAUACCGGAUAGGCGCCAUUGUUAGAGUGAUGGUUGGAACGUUUUUUCGGGGUGGGAUGAGCUCGCGUCCUAUCGGCUUGUUGGUGCGGUGAUGGCCUGCCAACGCGGCGACGGGUAUACGGACUGUGAGAGUGGACGGCGACACUGGGACCGAGAUGAGGCAGAGACGCCGAAGGGAGGCAGAAGCGGGGAAGAGUGAACAAGGGGCGCCAGGUUGAUGCAGAGAGGCCGAGUGUGGGAUGACGGCCUUAGGGUUGUAGAGGCUUUUCGCGAGGAACGAAGCUUUGAGUGACGGUACCUAGAGAAGAAGCACCGGCUAACUACGUG
rnacentral:rRNA from 1 species